AUGCCUGGGUGCUUUUCAAGAUUGACGGAGAGAGUGCGAGGACGUCGGCAGCCUUCUGCGUCGACAGGUUGUUCAAAUUCAUUUAUGGGUUGUUUUUGUUGUCUUUUUCCGUUUUGCAGGGUUCGCGAUCGUCGGGAGGUGGACAGCGACUUCGAAGAGGAAUCAACUGUACUGGAUGAGGUCCAGUUGGAUGUGCCACUGCUGCCAGUUAUCCUUCAUGUCCAGGAUGCUGCUAUCAUCCUUGAGGAGGCCACUGGUAAUUGGCAGCUGAUACCGAUUAGGUUCAGCCCCCUGUACUGUGGGCCUGUUGUGAUCAGGAACAAUGCCAGUCCGGUGGCUAAAGCCUGGAGAACUUUCCAGUUCAUCAGCCCCAUUAUCACCUACAUGCGUGGGGGAUCCCAGCAGGUGGUGGUGAGGAUGCACCAUGUGAGUAGGGUUCGAGGCCUGGAGACUCAACUGGUGUGGGCCAUCUCCAAGGAGACAGCCAGGCUCAGUCAAGAGGGCAUCCCCUACUGUGCCACCAAGGUGCAGUCCGUCACUUUGAUCCAGGUAAGAUGUAAAUACUACUGA
rnacentral:lncRNA from 13 species